GUGGGGAUUAGUGGCGAACGGGUGAGUAACACGUGSGYAAUCUGCCCUUCACUCUGGGACAAGCCCUGGAAACGGGGUCUAAUACCGGAUACCACUACCGCAGGCAUCUGUGGUGGUUGAAAGCUCCGGCGGUGAAGGAUGAGCCCGCGGCCUAUCAGCUUGUUGGUGAGGUAAUGGCUCACCAAGGCGACGACGGGUAGCCGGCCUGAGAGGGCGACCGGCCACACUGGGACUGAGACACGGCCCAGACUCCUACGGGAGGCAGCAGUGGGGAAUAUUGCACAAUGGGCGAAAGCCUGAUGCAGCGACGCCGCGUGAGGGAUGACGGCCUUCGGGUUGUAAACCUCUUUCWGCAGGGAAGAAGCGAAAGUGACGGUACCUGCAGAAGAAKCGCYKGCUWWCUACGUGCCAGCAGCCGCGGUAAUACKUAKGGCGCAAGCGUUGUCCGGAAUUAUUGGGCUGUAAAUAGCUCGUACGCGGCUUGUCACGUCGGGUGUGAAAGCCCAGGGRCUWAACCCCGGGUCUGCAUUCGAUACGGGCUAGCUAGAGUGUGGUAGGGAGAUCGGAAUUCCUGGUGUAGCGGUG
rnacentral:rRNA from 1 species